rnacentral:rRNA from 1 species
CAAUAGCGUAUACUAAAGUUGUUGCGGUUAAAAAGCUCGUAGUUGGAUUUCUGCUGAGAACGACCGGUCCGCCCUUUGGGUGUGUAUCUGGCUCUUUCUUGGCAUCUUCUUGGUGAACGUUGCUGCACUUGACUGUGUGGAGCGCUACCCAGGACUUUUACUUUGAGGAAAUUAGAGUGUUUCAAGCAGGCAUACGCCUUGAAUACAUUAGCAUGGAAUAAUAAGAUAGGACCUCGGUUCUAUUUUGUUGGUUUCUAGAGCUGAGGUAAUGAUUAAUAGGGAUAGUUGGGGGCAUUCGUAUUUAACUGUCAGAGGUGAAAUUCUUGGAUUCGUUAAAGACGGACUACUGCGAAAGCAUUUGCCAAGGAUGUUUUCAUUGA